UAAGGAAUAUUGGACAAUGGUCGCAAGCCUGAUCCAGCCAUGCCGCGUGAGUGAUGAAGGCCCUAGGGUUGUAAAGCUCUUUUGUGCGGGAAGAUAAUGACUGUACCGCAAGAAUAAGCCCCGGCUAACUUCGUGCCAGCAGCCGCGGUAAUACGAAGGGGGCUAGCGUUGCUCGGAAUCACUGGGCGUAAAGCGCACGUAGGCGGACUCUUAAGUCGGUGGUGAAAUCCUGGAGCUCAACUCCAGAACUGCCUUCGAUACUGGCGAUCUUGAGUCCGGAAGAGGUGAGUGGAACUCCUAGUGUAGAGGUGGAAUUCGUAGAUAUUAGGAAGAACACCAGUGGCGAAGGCGGCUCACUGGUCCGGUACUGACGCUGAGGUGCGAAAGCGUGGGGAGCAAA
rnacentral:rRNA from 1 species